AAAAUCAAAUUAUAGUCUCGCAUUCUUCAUAUAGAAGAUAAACUAGAAUGGUGCAACCCAUACUUAAAUUGCAAGCUUCUUAUCGCACAACAUUAUUAACAAAAAGGAAGUG